rnacentral:rRNA from 1 species
CUCGAAUCUGGUAGGACU